AAAGGACGCGUGGGCGGAUUAUCAAGUCUUUUGUGAAAUCUAACANNNUAACUGUUAAACUNNUUGAGAAACUGAUAAUCUAGAGUGAGGGAGAGGCAGAUGGAAUUGGGGGUGUAGGGGUAAAAUCCGUAGAGAUCACCAGGAAUACCCAUUGCGAAGGCGAUCUGCUGGAACUCAACUGACGCUAAUGCGUGAAAGCGUGGGGAGCAAACAGGAUUAGAUACCCUGGUAGUCCACGCCCUAAACGAUGUAUACUAGUUGUUGCUGUGCUAGUCACGGCAGUAAUGCACCUAACGGAUUAAGUAUACCGCCUGGGGAGUACGGUCGCAAGAUUAAAACUCAAAGGAAUAGACGGGGACCCGCACAAGCGGUGGAGCAUGUGGUUUAAUUCGAAGAUACGCGAAGAACCUUACCUGGGCUUGAUAUCCAACUAAUCUCUUAGAGAUAA
rnacentral:rRNA from 1 species